GACGAACGCUGGCGGCGUGCUUAACACAUGCAAGUCGAACGGUAAGGCCCCAGCUUGCUGGGGUACACGAGUGGCGAACGGGUGAGUAACACGUGGGUGACCUGCCCUGCACUUCGGGAUAAGCCUGGGAAACUGGGUCUAAUACCGGAUAGGACCGCACCGUGAGGGUGUGGUGGAAAGUUUUUCGGUGUGGGAUGGGCCCGCGGCCUAUCAGCUUGUUGGUGGGGUAAUGGCCUACCAAGGCGGCGACGGGUAGCCGGCCUGAGAGGGUGGACGGCCACAUUGGGACUGAGACACGGCCCAGACUCCUACGGGAGGCAGCAGUGGGGAAUAUCGCACAAUGGGCGGAAGCCUGAUGCAGCGACGCCGCGUGGGGGAUGACGGCCUUCGGGUUGUAAACUCCUUUCACCAUCGACGAAGGUUUUCUGACGGUAGAUGGAGAAGAAGCACCGGCUAACUACGUG
rnacentral:rRNA from 1 species